GGGGCUCACCUCUUCUUCAACAGGCCGCUGAAAUCCAGCUCACCUGCAGUAUCUGACUUCUUUUCACCCCUGUGGCCAUUGAAAGGGCAUCGUACCCUCCACAUCGAUGUUGAAGCCACAGCUGUCGCGGGUGUCCUUGGCUUUGACCUCGAGGCGCCCCGCACAACCUCCAUCCUCAGAGG